rnacentral:pre_miRNA from 1 species
AUGUAGGGUAAUCUCUAUCUCUCAGUAGGGAUAAAUUAAUAUAAAAAUUUUAUCCUACAUUGUUGUCCCUUUAAGUCAAACAUCUUGU